UCCGCCGGAUAUCUAUCGGGUAAUUACCCAUCAGAUUAAAAAUACUUUUUAGGUAUACCGAAAACCCGAUCUAUAGUGUAACUAUUAUUAAUUUGAUGUUUCCCCAAAAAGAAAGGGUUCAGUGGGUUCAGUGGUAUAAAUUAUUUAGAAAUAGCUAUUAAACAUAUGUUUCAAGUUUUAGAGUAAAAUAUUUAUACAAAUGUCUGGUAUAUUUUAGACAGCCGUCACGUAUAUAAUUAAAAUGCUCUCAUGUCAAUCUUUAUAACGUGGCAAAAAGAAGCCAUUCCAAUUCCAAACAUACAUGUAACUUCCAAAAACCAAUAUCACGUAGUACCCGUUAUGAAACUUAUGUGCCAUAUUUAUGUAACUUUUUAACACAAAUGGAAUUUUGAGACAACUAGAUUGCAGCAAAGUUAGUUGUACCAUAUUAACUGUGAAGUUGUUCUAACUAGUCCGGAUUUCAAAACAAUAAGUAUUACAGAAGGUAAAACUGGUUAAAAUUUUCUGGAAUUGAAUCAACUGUCACAGAACCAAAAACCAAACACAUACAAUAAGAAGCAUACAUGAGUAUUGACCUCCCAAAGGGAGAACAAGAUUCUUAAAAAGUAACAAAAUGUUUCAAAAUCUCAAAAUAUUACCAAAUUCAGCCUAGUUCAUUCUCUGAGCAGCCUCUUUGGCAAGAACUCUCUCUUUUGCCUUGGUCUUUGCUUGUGAUUUUGAUCCCAUUAUUCCACCACCCCACUUCUUCCUGUACUCUUCAUACUUGUCAUUGAAGUUUGCCUAAAACAUCAAAAUAACAAAAAGAAUAAUUUUAAAUCAACCAUAACUUUACAAUAAAUAAAAGUUUAUAUAAAAUCACUUGAGAUGUACCUUGACAGCCUCCAAAAUCCGGCUGAAUUCCAUUUUAUCUUCGUUCUUGACCGUAGUC
rnacentral:lncRNA from 1 species